CAGUCGAACGGGAUCUUCGGAUUCUAGUGGCGGACGGGUGAGUAACGCGUAAGAAUCUAACUUCAGGACGGGGACAACAGUUGGAAACGACUGCUAAUACCCGAUAUGCCGCGAGGUGAAACCUAAUUGGCCUGAAGAAGAGCUUGCGUCUGAUUAGCUAGUUGGUGGGGUAAGAGCCUACCAAGGCGACGAUCAGUAGCUGGUCUGAGAGGAUGAGCAGCCACACUGGGACUGAGACACGGCCCAGACUCCUACGGGAGGCAGCAGUGGGGAAUUUUCCGCAAUGGGCGAAAGCCUGACGGAGCAACGCCGCGUGAGGGAGGAAGGUCUUUGGAUUGUAAACCUCUUUUCUCAAGGAAGAAGUUCUGACGGUACUUGAGGAAUCAGCCUCGGCUAACUCCGUGCCAGCAGCCGCGGUAAUACGGGGGAGGCAAGCGUUAUCCGGAAUUAUUGGGCGUAAAGCGUCCGCAGGUGGUCAGCCAAGUCUGCUGUCAAAUCAGGUUGCUUAACGACCUAAAGGCGGUGGAAACUGGCAGACUAGAGAGCAGUAGGGGUAGCAGGAAUUCCCAGUGUAGCGGUGAAACGCGUAGAGAUUGGGAAGAACAUCGGUGGCGAAAGCGUGCUACUGGGCUGUAUCUGACACUCAGGGACGAAAGCUAGGGGAGCGAAAGGGAUUAGAUACCCCUGUAGUCCUAGCCGUAAACGAUGGAUACUAGGCGUGGCUUGUAUCGACCCGAGCCGCGCCGAAGCUAACGCGUUAAGUAUCCCGCCUGGGGAGUACGCACGCAAGUGUGAAACUCAAAGGAAUUGACGG
rnacentral:rRNA from 1 species